AGAGCGAACGCUGGCGGCAGGCUUAACACAUGCAAGUCGAGCGGGCGUAGCAAUACGUCAGCGGCAGACGGGUGAGUAACGCGUGGGAACGUACCUUUUGGUUCGGAACAACACAGGGAAACUUGUGCUAAUACCGGAUAAGCCCUUACGGGGAAAGAUUUAUCGCCAAAAGAUCGGCCCGCGUCUGAUUAGCUAGUUGGUGAGGUAACGGCUCACCAAGGCGACGAUCAGUAGCUGGUCUGAGAGGAUGAUCAGCCACAUUGGGACUGAGACACGGCCCAAACUCCUACGGGAGGCAGCAGUGGGGAAUAUUGGACAAUGAGCGCAAGCCUGAUCCAGCCAUGCCGCGUGAGUGAUGAAGGCCCUAGGGUUGUAAAGCUCUUUUGUGCGGGAAGAUAAUGACGGUACCGCAAGAAUAAGCCCCGGCUAACUUCGUGCCAGCAGCCGC
rnacentral:rRNA from 1 species